ensembl:lncRNA
AGACUUUGAAGGCAGCCUUUGACCUUGGAAAGUACUGGAGAGACCAGUGUCAAGGCUCAGCAUUUGGCCUGUGAUGGCAGAAAUAAAACUACCAGGAUCCACCAGGCCACCCAGCCCGGGUGUGGAGACUAGACGCACAGCAACCUAAGGCUGAUUUAGGAGAAGCUCAGAGUGCGGGUUCAACAGCACCAAGCCCAAGCGUGGCAAAAAUGUGGCUGAGGUUUUCUUGAGCUUAGCACGUGUUGGGAUUUUCGGAUCAUCAAAGUGUGGCUGCUACGGGGUUUCACUGAACGCUGGAAAGACCAGUGAGUGAGAGAUCAUUUUCCUGAAUAGGUCCUCAUUUUAGCUGAAGCUCUUUCAUUUUGGAAAAGAGAUGCCUGAUGCAACCACAACAUACCAAGGCAGGGAGGAAAAGAGUAUGUUGAAUUCUCGAACAGGAAAGAAGUCAUUCCCACUGCCGUUUGUUGGAACUACAACAAGAAGCCAGACAGGAGUAAACACCUGUUGGUGACCUUUUUUCACUUGUAAACAAAAGGAUUGAUGAAUACACGUCUGAAACCCGAGAUGUUUGUGAGUUGAGAACUCCUGGAUGGAAAAUUUUACAAAUGCUGUCCCACCUCAGAUACAGAACGGGUCUCACGGCAGCCGCCCACCUAGAACGUGGAGCCACGGAUCUCACAUUCCUGGUCUCUCCUGCACGUCAGCGAGGUGGCAGGUCUCCGUGUGUACCACUUACUUGCUAACUGUGUGAGAGGAAGAGGCCUUUGCACAACGUGGAAGGAAAUGGCCGGAAACAAGGACACACGGGUUCCAGAGUUCAUGUAAAGUACAGAACGUUCAGGCAAGAGGGUGAAAGUGCGUGGGUGGGUUUUCAGUUCACAAACUAUCUUGCUCUAGAAGAGAAGAUAGACGCUCCUUGUUGGUCCAGGAAAGACACAAAGGUUUGACGUAGCAGGAAAUGAUCCCUUUAAAGAAAACCUUUAUCUGACUGAUCCCAGGCUGCAAAGUGAGAGUUUUCCAGGAAGAAGCCACCUGGGGGCUGUGGUCUGCAGCCGUAUUUUAAAGGCUGAAGUACAGUCUUUGACAAAACUCACUCAUUUUUUUCCCCUCAAAGAUCUUUUAGGGGGUUUAACAAAACUUUAAAUUUCACUGAAGACAGGAAAAUACAGGACAAACUAGAGCUGCCAAAUCUUUGGUCAAGAGAAAGGUUUUUAUUGUGACUUUGCUCUUCUCGGGCCUCUCCAACCCAACCAGAAAAAAACCCCAAGACACAGGGACAAUGAGGCCGCUGCUCUCUGAGCCCCGGGUGCUUCUUGCUUCCGAGGAUACGAGGUGCUGAAAGAUGCCGCCUCGACUCCAGAUGAUGCCUCUAGAAGCCGAGAGCCGUCCCGGCUGACGGCCAGCAAGGGCACUGGGGCCUCAGUCCCACAACCACAGGAACUGGAUUUUGCCAACAGCCUCGUAGCUUGGGGAGGGCCCUGAGCCCCAGGCAGGGGCGCAGCCUGGCCAACAGCUUUCUUCAGUUUUGUGAAACUCUGAGCAGAGGACCUGGCUCGGUUGGGCCUGGACUUCUGACCUGCAGAAACUGUGGAGAUAAUGAAAGAUUGCCAUUGGAAGUCACUAAAUUUGCGGCAAUUGUUUAUGAGCAAUGGGAAACUGAUACAGCCCUCAAAAAAAAGAGGUGAGAUUUCAAUCUUAUGUCACCAACUAAGAGUCAGUGGAAGGACAGGACCCAGAGGGCCAACUGUCACAAGCUAUCUCUAAGCAACAUCUAACGUCCUCAGGGUCCUCAACAGUGCGCCUUUGCUGCAGCACUGCCAAAGGUCACUGCCGCCCUCCGGACAUGCACAUCAGCGCAACAGAUGCUCACAGCUCUCUCGCAAGCUGCCUCGCCCUUAUGAUGAACCAGGGAGCACCUGUUUCCCUCACUAGGUUAUGACCACCGUGCAAAGAAUAAUCAACUAAAAUUCUAAUGUUACUGGGUCUCAUACCGCAGCUCACAGUGCAGCAGAGACAGAGAAGAAGGAAUUUCUUUAUCUUUUGUUUAACUGAACUUGCUCUCCACCCAAGUCCCCACCCACGGCUAAGUGGGAGAAAACUGCCUGUCCCAUCUGACUUAAAGCUGCAUAGUGAGAGUCCCUUGGCUGUCCUAAGCCACUGUGGGGUGCGGCUGCUCAGCGGCUCAGCUCGCCUGGCCGUCCGCCUCGCUGCAGCACGGCUAAGAUGCUGGGAUCUCAUCCAGGUGUGGACGGGGGAAAGGCUGCGGCUUGCUCGCUCCCAGUUGUGUUGAUGGGUCACCAAUGGACCGCUGGCCUCACGGGGGUGCAUGGGUGCACUGGCAGGGGUCUGCACAUCUCCAGUGGGCACUGCUUGUCCAGGCAGCCCUGUUGUCCUUCCAGGCUGGAAUCUUCAGCUGGCAAACUCUGGCUCCAGGGUGUUCUGGAAAAGGACUUGCCCUGCGUUUCCUGCUCCCCAUCUCUGCUCCUCUUCGAGUGAGCUGCAGACAGACCCUGGGUUUCUGCUGUUUCCCUCAGCUCCGGGCCUGGCCAUGUGCUGCAGCCUUCACCGUGGGGUCCCCUUGCUUUGUCACAGCAGGCCUGUGGCAGACCCUUGGGCUCUCAGAGCGGCAUCCUGCAGGCGAGAAAAAUGGGGGUUCCGACUGUCAGCUGGACCUACCCUGUCUGCUCACACCCGCCCACUCUCUUAAGGACCAAGAGGACCACGCGCUGGCCUGGCCCUUCUGUUCCGCCACCUUCUCCCUAAGAUCCAAGUCGGCACGUUGGGCAGGCCCCCCCGAAGUGAUCCCCUCACUUCAUCUAAAAUAUGUACAGUCAAUCCUCACUAUCAGCAGAUUUUGUAUCUGCGAAUUUGCUUACUCACUGAAAUUUAUUUUAAUCCCCAAAUCAGCACUUCUGCACUUUCACGGCCCUUUGUGGAUGCGUGCAGAGUGGCGGCAAAUUUGAGUUGUGCACGUUCCCAGUUGAGGACAUACGAGGUGACACCCUACCUUUCAUUUCAGUGCUCACACGUAAACAAGUGUUCUCAUGGUCUACUCAGUGCGUGUUUUCCAUAGCUGUGUGCCUGGUGUUGGUGAUUUUGCUGUGUAUAGUGGCCCCAGGUGACGUGCUGGACGGCUGUGUUGUGUUCCUAAGAGCAGGAGGCCUGCGGAUGCCUUACAGAGAAAACCCGUGUGACAUGGACUGAAGGUCUGUGUCCUCCAGAAAUCACGAGUGGACGCCCUCACCUCCGGGGCGGCUGAAUUUGGAGAUGGGGCACCUGAGGACAGGCCAGGUCCAGUGGAUCAGGGUGGGGUCCUGACUUGUCUUGUAAGAAGAGACGAGAGCACUCUCUCUGGCCUCAGAGGAAAGGCUAUGAGAGGACGCAGAGGCCAUAUAAAAGCAGAAGAAAGCGCUCACUGGAAACCUACGGUGACCUUGGUCUUGGACUCUCUAGCCUCCAGAACUGUGAGAAAUAAAUUUCUGUUGUUUAAGCCUCGCAGCAUGUAGUAACUCGUGGCAGCCGCAGCCGACUUCCUUCAGGCCGGCUCUGUGAGGCCUUGGCUGUGAGUUCUAUGCCAGCGAAUCAACAGGGUCUAUUAAAGAAAACAGAUACGCGCAUAAAGCAGGGUUAUGCUCUCAUUCGCUAAUGAAUUAAAAACUUCACCUCCGUGAAAGAUACUGUCAAGAGAAUGAGAAGACAAGACACAGACUGGGAGAAAAUAUUUGCAAAGGGCACAUCUGAUAAAGGACUAUUAUCCAAAAUAUACAAAGCACUCUUAAAACUCAACAAUAAGAAAAUGAACAACCUGAUUACAAAAUGGGCAAAAGAUCUGAAUAGAUACCUCAUCAAAGAAGAUAUACAGAUGGCAAAUAAGCAUAUGAAAAGAUGCUCCACAUGGUUUGUCAUCAGGGAAAUGCAAAUUAAAACAAUGGGAUACCACUACAAACCUGUUAGAAUGGCCCAAAUCCAAAACAGUGACAACACCCAGUGCUGGCGAGGAUGUGGGGCAAUGGGAACUCUCCCUCGUGGCUGGUGCGGAUGCAAACGGUGCAGACACCUUGGAAGACAGUUUAACAGUUUCCUACAAAACGAAACCCACUCUUCACACAUGAUCCAGCAGUCACCCUCCCGGGGAUUCACUCAAAGGCCUUGAAAACUCAUAUCUACACAAGCAUCUGCGUGUGGAUGCCUACAGCAGCUUUAUUCAUUAUUGCCCAACUUAGAAGCACCCGCACGUCCUUCAGUAGAAAUUUACUUUUUAACUAUUCUGCAGGCUGGAAAUCCAAGAUCAAAGUGUUGGAAAACUCAGUUACUGGUGAGAGAGUUCUUCCUGGCUUAUGAACUAUCACCUUCUCUUUCUGUCCUUACUUGGCCUGUGUCUGUGCAACCCUGUCUUUUCCUCUUAGAAGGACACCAGUCCUAUGGGAUCAGGGCCCCAUUUAUGACCUCAUUUAACCUUAAUUACCUCUGUAGAGGCCUCAUCUCCAAAUACAGUCAUAUUGGGGGCUAGGAGUUCAACAUAUGUAUUUGGUGGGGGCACAAUUCAGAUCAUAGCACUGAGGUACAUCCAGACAAUUGAAUAAUUUUCAAUGUUAAAAAGAAAUGAGCUGUCAAGCCAUGAAAAGACUUGGGGAGACCUUAAAUACAUAUCUCUAAAUGAAAGGAGCCCAUCUGAGGAGGCCACAUAGUGUAUGACACCAACUGUGUGACAUCCCGGAAAAGGCAAAUUUCUGGAGACGGUGAGAGGUCAGCGUGCGGGGCUGGGGGUGUGUGUAUGGAGCACAGAGGGUUGUCAGACCGUGAGAAUCCUCUUGGAUACGACCAGGGAGGCUACAUGCCAUUGUUUGUCCAGACCCACAGCACAUACAGCACCAGGAGUGAAGCUGGUGUGAACUGUGCACUCAGGGGGAGGACGACGUGUGAGCACAGGUCAUCGAUUGUAGCAAAGGUACCGUCUCGGGGACACUGAUAAUGGGGGAGGCCGUGUCCCUGGGAGGGCAGGCGGCUUAAGGGAGCGCACUGUACUUUCCCCUUCAACUUUACUGUGAACCUAAAACUGCUCUAAAAAAUAAAAUCUAUUUAAAAGAAAAAAAAAAUGUGACCAGCGGCUCACAAGCACUGACCCUGUAUUUCUCCCAGGACAAUGGUCCAGGAUUUGCUAGGUCAGUGUUUGCAGUGAUUUUAUAGAACAGACUCCAGUGAACCGGGAGAGUGGACGGGAUGUGGUCCCAUUCUGGGCCAAAAGCCAGGACGGGGCAGAGGGGACACUCGUCGGCCCUCAGCCUCCUGCACUGCACUUCUCCUUUCCUCUCCUUCCCCCUUCUCUGGGGUCAGAAGGAGACAGGCCCUCCCCCGUGCACACCCUCCUUCGCUGACCCAUGUCCUAUUCCUGAAGGACCUCGUGUGAAGCUCUGGGAUCUGCUGGCCCAGGCAGGCUGACUGCUAAGACCCAGGACAACGUCCUCUCGGGUGUCAGCUGAGUUCAUAAAGUUGUGCUGGGCAUCAAAGUCCUACAGUGGGGUGCCGGGAGACGAUGCUUGUCUUCUCUCUGGAUUCCUUCCUAGGGUCUCCCUGGUCUCCUUCCCUCUCCCCUGCCUUCCUCACCUCUAGAAACUCCAGGCCAACGAGGAAAAUGGACAUGCUGGCAAGGCAGAAAGAGCAAAGUCCAGUGAUCACCUGUAACAGGUGUCCUCAUUUGGUAGACCCUGCACUCUGCCUGUGCGCAGGGCUCGGUGACGGACUGCACCCGGGUCAGAAGCUGUCAAGUUAGAACCAGGUGCGGUUGCCACACCCCAGAGGUCAGGCGUUGAUCGUGUCUUUUCCCUUCCUUCUUCCUCCUUCAGUUGACACACCUCAGUGACCCUGUAACCAAUAUCCCAUCAAGGAUUAACCCCCACACAUGCAAUCCAUCCCGGCCGCACCUUCUCUAUCCUAUUCUGGAAGACUGCCCGCUCCCACGAGCUACCAGCUUUCCAGAAACCACGCGGCUUUCAUCAGAUACCCUCACGUCCUUUCCUCUUGUCAGUGGCACUUGGAAAAGUGCCCCUAAGAACCUGAAAUGAGACGGCACCCUGCACAUUAAAUAAAGAAACCAGCACACAGAGCCUCACAGCCACAGAGUGCAACCUUACUGCAGGACCAUUGCUCAACUCCAGGGAAAGAAGUCACCCAGAUAAAGAAAAAAGGGGUGUCAACCAGAAAAGGAAUUAAUCAGCCGUGAACACAGAGGGAAAGGAGACUCAAAAGGCAUGUGCCAGAGAAGGAGGGACUCUGUCAGUGACUGCGUGCUGGGUCUGUCUGGCAAGUCCAUCUAUAACAUGGAAGUGGAUCCACCAGGCCAUUGGAGCCUAAUGCCACUGUGCCCAACCACCUGGGUUGUCACCCAAGCUUACUGAGCAACUUGGCAAUUACGUAGCUCGUCUAAAGGAAAGAGUGGGCUGCUGUGAUUGUGAAAUGCUAAUUAGCUUUCUAACUUUGUAUAUUGUCAUCUUCCGGGCCUUCUUUGAAUGAGUCAGCAUCUCAAGUCUGGCCAACCCUGGGACACUUACCAGAACGUUUCUGUACCUACAAGAUUUGAACCAGAUUUGGGGAAGUGGUGUGGGCGCCCUGCCUGAGAUCUUUGUCCUUGUGCAGGGAGCAGCCUGACUGCUUUCCUCCCUGAGCAUCACAGCAGAGGAGCAGCAAGUGUGAGCCACAGGGUUCUACGUGAGAUGUCUUCUAAAGAUUAAGUAAUUUUAUGCUUGAUUUAUUUAAAAAGUACAACUUUAUAAAGGCAACACAAGGAAUUUUUAGAAGAUGUAAAUAUUUUCAAAACUCAUGAUUUUCCUCCAAUACGUGGUUUUGACAAAUGAAACAACUUACAUGUUUUCCAAGCUGAGGAGUUGGCCCAUAGUAUAAGGGAGCAAACAGCACAAGAUAUUUUCUUUGACAGGUAAAUUUAAAAAUUUUAUUUCUGACUUUUGGUUCAGCUCAGAACUUAUUUUUUUUGAGGAAGAUUAGCCCUCAGCUAACAUCUGCUGCUAGUCCUCCUCUUUUUGGUAAGGAAGACUGGCCCUGAGCUAACAUCCGUGCCCAUCUUCCUCUACUUUAUACGUGGGACACCUACCACAGCACGGCUUGCCAAGCUGUACCAUGUCCACACCAGGGAUCCCAACCAACAAACCCCGGGCCACAGAAGUGGAACUUGGGAACUUAACCACUGUGCCACCGGGCUGGCCCCUCAGCUCAGUACUUGAUUAGCAUCUUUUGGCCAGCGUUUCUGGGAGCAAA